AGAGUUUGAUCAUGGCUCAGGACGAACGCUGGCGGCGUGCCUAAUACAUGCAAGUAGAACGCUGACUACUUUAGCUUGCUAGAGUAGAAGGAGUUGCGAACGGGUGAGUAACGCGUAGGUAACCUGCCUACUAGCGGGGGAUAACUAUUGGAAACGAUAGCUAAUACCGCAUAACAGUGUUUAACACAUGUUAGAUGCUUGAAAGAUGCAAAUGCAUCACUAGUAGAUGGACCUGCGUUGUAUUAGCUAGUUGGUGGGGUAACGGCCUACCAAGGCGACGAUACAUAGCCGACCUGAGAGGGUGAUCGGCCACACUGGGACUGAGACACGGCCCAGACUCCUAUGGGAGGCAGCAGUGGGGAAUCUUCGGCAAUGGGGGCAACCCUGACCGAGCAACGCCGCGUGAGUGAAGAAGGUUUUCGGAUCGUAAAGCUCUGUUGUAAGAGAAGAACGUGUGUGAGAGUGGAAAGUUCACACAGUGACGGUAACUUACCAGAAAGGGACGGCUAACUACGUGCCAGCAGCCGCGGUAAUACGUAGGUCCCGAGCGUUGUCCGGAUUUAUUGGGCGUAAAGCGAGCGCAGGCGGUUUAAUAAGUCUGAAGUUAAAGGCAGUGGCUUAACCAUUGUUCGCUUUGGAAACUGUUAAACUUGAGUGCAGAAGGGGAGAGUGGAAUUCCAUGUGUAGCGGUGAAAUGCGUAGAUAUAUGGAGGAACACCGGUGGCGAAAGCGGCUCUCUGGUCUGUAACUGACGCUGAGGCUCGAAAGCGUGGGGAGCAAACAGGAUUAGAUACCCUGGU
rnacentral:rRNA from 1 species